CCUACGGGCGGCAGCAGUGGGGAAUAUUGCACAAUGGGGGAAACCCUGAUGCAGCGACGCCGCGUGAGCGAGGAAGUAUCUCGGUAUGUAAAGCCCUAUCAGCAGGGACGAAAAAAGACGGUACCUGACUAAGAAGCCCCGGCUAACUACGGGCCAGCAGCCGCGGGAAUACGGAGGGGGCAAGCGUUAUCCGGAUUUACUGGGUGUAACGGGAGCGUAGACGGCAAGGCAAGGCAGAAGUGAAAGGGGAGGGCUCAACCCUGUACAUGCUUUUGAAACUGUGGUGCUAGAGUGCAGGAGAGGUAAGUGGAAGUCCUGGUGUAGCGGUGAAAUGCGUAGAUAUUAGGAGGAACACCAGUGGCGAAGGCGGCUUACUGGACUGUAACUGACGUUGAGGCUCGAAAGCGUGGGGAGCGAACAGGAUUAGAUACCCGGGUAGUC
rnacentral:rRNA from 1 species